UUAACAUUUAACAGGAAAUAAAUAAGGCUUUUAAAAUUUUAUUUAGAGGUCUGGAGGUUAUUUGCUUAACAGAAAAUAGAAUAUCCUUAGUAUUUCUUUGAAGAAAUCUUCACCAUAGUGACUUAAUCUAUGUGACCCCAACUUCUGUAACUUUAAUUCUUAAGAAUAUCAGUGGGCAACAGGCCCUUGUCCUGAAACGAAAGCAUUGCCACCUUGCAGCGUAAUGACUGCUUUCUCCCCCGAGGGAGUGGAGUCUCAUGGUGGCAAGGCCGUGUCACAGGUGGGCACACAAGAACAAGCCCCAGGGUGGCAGAUUGCUGGCAGAGAGCCACAGUCCCUCCUCGUGGUGGGCCACACUGGGCGCCUCCUGAUGGCUGUCUUCUGGUUGUUUCAAACCCUUGUCUUUUUAGAGAACCCACAUGUGGAACUGUGGACUUGAACUUGUAGGCCACAUGCAGAUUUAAGGAAAUGGAAAGUCAGAUGCACUAAGUUCAUGAUAAUUUCAGAUGGAGGAAGCUAAAAAAAUUUUUUUUUUCUUUUCCACACCCUGGAGAUCAGGGGUUGUUGCAUGCUUUGAGGCUCUGAAUUACAACAGUGAUCACAUUUAAAAAUGGAAGCAUUCAGUUCAACCAAUAUUUACUGAAAAAGAUACCAACUAGAUCCUACCAGAAAAUAAAAAUGAAUAAUAAAUGAUCUUUGCUUUUCUAGGUGCUUUUACUGUCAUAUAGGAAAUAAGAUGUAUACACAAGUUGUAGUAGCAGAGGCAGAAUGUAAGAAAUAUAAGUGCCACCUAGAAGCAGGGAGAGACAGGGGGAGACAGUAGCUCUGGCAGGACGCAGCAGAAUGCAUCGUGAAGGAAAUGGAGAUGAGGAAAAAAUGGGUCGAAUUUCUCUUGUGGAGACUCAGGCAAGGCAACGGAGAGAGCGUGCGCUACAUGCACCACAGAGCUCGGCACGCUGGAGGUGAUGAGCAGCCUCCUUUCAAUUUUGUUAUUUUUCUUAAAAAAUCACUCUGGAGAAGAUGCAAAUAAAUAGGCAGAAGAGAAUAAAAAUCAUCCAGAGUUCUGUUAGCCAGAGAAAAGUUCUGUGACCAUUAGUGGUAUCCUUUCUUCCAUUCAUCUUUCCACACACAUGAUUGAAAUAGAACAGAUUUGAGAUGCCGGUCCACUGUGCUUGGCUCCUCAAGAGGUGUGGUGGGUGUUGUUUAACUACAUCCAGCCCCUAGCCCAGUGCACUUUUUCAUAGAGAAGCACUAACAAAUGCCCACUGUUCCUUUGAUAAGUUCUAGACAGCAAAUCUUUUUGAGCCUAUGGAAAUGUGGCCACGUGUCUCUAGAUAGAUGCCUUACACUCUGAAUUGAAUGCAAGGCUGAACCUAAAUGAUGUGUGGCUCCUAGAAGAUCAUCACAAAUCCAUUUCCUGCUCUUGAGCCAAUAAGUAGAUGUGUGGAUCUGUGUCCAUUUUCUAUAAUGUAAAUACUUUUUGACUUAAAAUGGUGCUUUGUCCCAAAAUGAGUAUUUUUCCUUUCUCAGACUUAAUGUUUAUUUUAAAAUUCAAAUGGUAUGAUAAGAGUAAGGUAAAAAUUACCUGAAUUAACACCAUCCAGAAGUAACAAAUUUGGCAGAUGUUUUUCUGUAUGUGAGAUUUUUUUUUCCUUCAAAAUUAUGGUCAUCUUUCUGUAUCAGUAAAUAUCAAACAGUACUUGACGUUUUGAUAUAAAUUGCUAAAGUGCUCUCCAGCUUUCUGCUCUCCCACCAAGUUAUGCCACAGGUGGGUAUAAGCACUAAUUAUUUUGGUAAAUUUUAUUGAAGUGUAACAGAAAAGUAUACAGAUCAAGUUUACAACCUAGUGAACUUUUAAGAAGUAAACACUUAAAAAUCCAACAUCUGGAUCAAGAAAGAGAACAUUACCAGCACCCCAAGAGACCACCUCCCUGUCCCCUUCCAGUCACUGCUUCCCUGGGAUAACCACUCUUCUGUUACUUAUCUAAUUUGCAGUCUUUAUUAAUCGAGUGGGCAAAAAGUAUCUUGUUUUGGUGGUUUUUUUUUUUUUUUUUGCUUCUGGUUACUUUUAUGAGGUUACUGCUUGGACUAUUUCUAAAAUUCACGGUAGGGCCCAAUUUUUGGAGGUUAAAGUCUUUCUCCAUGAAAGAAAUGAAUGACAUCUCUUUUAGGUGCAGAACAUGAAGGGAUUUGCCAUAGUUGAAAAUGUUAAAGCAAAGAUUCUACAAUAUAACCUUUGUCAUAUAUUAUUUUCUCAGUAAAUAUUGGAGAUCCUUUGGGACAGGCACUAUGAAAAAAAAAAUAAAGUAUCUUCAUUUCUUUGAAAUGACAAAUUUCAGUACCUUCUGCAACUGGAGAGUAUAGUAAGGAUAUGUGGCUAGAAGCUGACCUCUGCUGGAAGCUUCUGGUAUAAUGUGGAGGAAGGAGCCCUAGGUGCUAGCCUUCGUUCAGCUCAAACCUGCCUGCCUCUAGCUUUCCUUUGCAACUUCUCAGUUUUUUUUCUCACGCUAUUUUUCUGCUGUGAUAGCAAGUUUUGCUUAGCAAAACGUGACGUUUUCUCUGUGGCAAGGUCUUUGUAAACAUCCUAGCAGUUGACUGUUGAAAUACGGGAAAACAAUUCGCCAGGUUGUAUCUCGCAUCUGCAGCAUGAGAUUCAGGCCUGGGGCGUAACUCCAGAGGAGGGGGAGUAACGGGCUGCUCUGCUUCUCCCCAGGAAUCGACAAGGAGAACGUUGAACUCUCCCCCACCACCGGGCACUGUAACAGUGGACGAACUCGCCAUGGAUCCGCAAGCCAAGUGCAGAAGCAAAGAAGCGCUGGCAGUUUCAAACGUAAUAGCAUUAAGAAGAUCGUGUGAAGCUUUCUUUCUUUCCUUUUUCAAACAGACUUAACUCACACGGGCUCGUCACUAGUGACCCCUUCACCACCGUGCUGUGAUGCUGCACUUCAUGUUUAUAAUGAGCCCACCCACGUCUGCCAUGUUGCCAGAUGAUCAACUCUUGGAAGCAUUGCCUAAAUUUAAUGCUGCUUUUUCUUUAACUUUUUUUUCCUUCUACUUUUGGUGUGUCUGGUGUAAGCAGGUGUUCAGAACAACUGCAAAGAAAGUGGGAGGUCAGGACGCUUGCACUGAGAACAUCCCAGUUGUGAGAGAGGAUGAAUUCUCGAAUACUGCUACCACUGACCAGCUAUGAAAGCCAUUUGCACAGAGCUCUCUGCCUUCUCUGUUUCCCCUUCUUCAUCAUACAAAUGUAAUGAAUGGAAUGAAUUCACUUGAAGUACCUCAUGAAAUGAUCAGCGUUGCACAAAUCAAAAUUGAGCCUUCUUUGAACUGCAAAAACACUUUUGACCAGUACAUCCUGGAAGUUUGAAAACCUACUAAGGUUUAAAAUUUACCUUGUUUAGAGAACUUCUGACUUUUGAGGAAAAUCUAGCUUUCCAGGUAACUAAAGUGAACAUGAGCUAAGUCUCACCAGUAUGCUUCCCCUGAGAAAUGAAACACUUAGGCCUCAUACGAUGAUCUGCACGAGAAAUCUGAAGUUCAGAGCAGGUUUCCCAUUUUGCGUAAUCCAAUGUAAGUUCUAUACAGAACAUUAGAAGUCAUUUGUUUGGGGUUUGUGGAUGUUUCCCCCUGAUUUUUUUAAAGAGGCAAACAUAAACUCAUCACGUUUUCAUUGUACAUAACCCACCUGUUUUAUCACUGCUCUAGUCUCAGGGGUGGGCCCUUGUUUGCCAACACUGAGAAUACGGUUCACUGGCUUUGGGGAAAAGUGGCGAGGCUCUGUCCUUCAUCCACUCGACUAACAUGUUCAUUACUGAAUGCCAGCCCUGUGCCGGUCCUGAGCCCGGCUCUGAGGACGCCACCCUGAGCGGUCAGCUGCCACCCCCACAGGAUGGAAGCUGGCAGCCCUCCCUCCUACUUAGUGGGUUUUAGGGUUUUUCAGUUUGUUUGGCCUUUGUUUGUUUUCUUGUUUUGUUUUACACCCCUCCCAACCCUCCAGGCAUAAUGAGGCAUGUCUUAUUCAAUGUUAUGCAAUGGACUUAAACAAAAAUUCACUCUUCAUGUCAGCCACACAAUUUUUUUUAAAGCAGUAUAUUCACCUGUAAAUAGUUUGUGUAAAAUUUGACAGAAAAGUAUAUUUACUACACUGUAAAUACAUGUGAUGAUAUAUUGUAUUAUUUUGCUUUUUUGUAAAGCAGUUAGUUGCUGUACAUGGAUAACAAAAAUUUGAUUAUUCUCGUGUUAGUAUUGUUAACUUCUUCCUGCGACUGCGUCCCAUCAUUUAAAGAAAAUGCUGUGUGUUGUAAACUUACAUUUGUAUAUGGUAACUUCCUCUCCUUUCCAUCUGGGCCUAGACUCUGGCAGUUCCCUCGUCUACAACCUUGUUAAUAUUGUAUGCCAGCAGGAGAGAUACUGCCCAACAGUCAGAACCGAUCAUUGUAGGGGAAAAUUGUAGAACUCCAUCUCAGAUCACUGUUGUUCCCCACCCCAUCUUCCUCCCUGUGUAUGUACUCCACCCCCCCCCUUUUUUAAGUAAAAUGUAAAUUCAAUCUGCUCUAA